UACGUAGGUAGCAAGCGUUAUCCGGAUUUACUGGGUGUAAAGGGCAUGUAGGCAGGUCUGCAAGUCAGAUGUGAAAUUCCAGGGCUCAACCCUGGACCUGCAUUUGAAACUGUAGAUCUUGAGUGAUGGAGAGGCAGGCGGAAUUCCGUGUGUAGCGGUGAAAUGCGUAGAUAUACGGAGGAACACCAGUGGCGAAGGCGGCCUGCUGGACAUUAACUGACGCUGAGGCGCGAAAGCGUGGGGAGCAAACA
rnacentral:rRNA from 1 species